AGACAAAAUUGAAGAAGCACAAAAACAACUUAAUGGAACAGAAGACCAACAGAGAGAAAUCACAGAUGCUGGUACAAGAGGAACCUCAGAUGCAAUUAAGGGCGUGAAAAG